CAAGAAGAAAUGUGAGUUAAUGAAAUAUCAUGUACUUGGAAUUGAUACAAAGAUCACAACAGCUCAGAGGAAGAACAUUCCUGGGAGUAGGAAACUCCAGCUGCAAUCGUGCAUUCCCACUGGGAGACAAGGUGAACCAGGGUAAGGCAGACAAAUUCAGAGCCUCAUCCCCAUACAGGCAGCAAACUGACUCACAACCUUCUUCAGAUGUGGAACAUGAGGUUUUCCAGCCUUGGACAUAUCCAGGGAAACCAGAGUUUUAGUCUGGCUGCCAAAUUUGGGCUGGGGGGGUCACUCCGUCAGAAGCUCAAUAUGUUCAGUCUGCUGUGGGCUUCCAGUGG